ensembl:lncRNA
AUGGAGAGGAGGAGAGGAGGUAGUCUGGCAGAAGGAGCUGCAGCCAUGACAGAGCUUUUCCCUGGCUUCCUCCUUGCACUGUCUCCAGAUCUUGUGUACUUCCACAAGGAUGAAAUCACUAAAGUUUGGGACUGUGUGUCUGAGUGCUGUCACCAAGACCUGCUGCUGAAGAAGCCAGAGACCCACUGUGAGUGCAGGCAAGAAGUCAAGUGGCGCUUGAGUGGAAGAAAGUUGGAUUUCCUCUUUGGAGUCUUCUACAGGAUGGCUGGAAAGGAGGGACACCCAGGCAGUGCUCCUGCACUCCCUGGGCUUUCCCAGGCUCCAGGAGUCUCUCCCACAUGUCUUGCACCCUGCAGAUCCUGGAAAGGAACAGUCGGGCUGAUGGGCCUGGGUACCAUUCACAUUAUGAAAAGACCCAUCUGGCAUGGAGAGGGGGAAGGUUUCAUGGCAGACAGUCUGGAGUUUAAUCUGAACAAGCCAUUUACGGUGGGAAAGAAGCGUGUCCGUGGGAAAAGCCCCAUGCCUGGGCUCUCCAAAGCAGACGAGCUGGUCUGUGCUGAGGUGGCCUUGCGCCUGCACAAGCCCAAGGCCACCAUCGUGAUGUGCAUCGAGGCCACACUAAAGAUCUGUGAGUGGGCCUUGUCCAGUGGCCAGAACUUGGACUUUGUGUUCAAGGACAUUGGCAUCCUGGUCUGCCGAGGAAACCACGUGGUCAUGAGGUUCUUUGAAGACUUGGUCCGAAAGGUGGCUCAGUCACAGUACCUGGCAGAGGGUUUGCUCCAGUCACCCAAUCUGAAGCCAUUAUUCAUGGCGUACACGGAAAAGGACAUUUCCCAGAUUCCACAUGAAGGUGUCUUAGUGCUGCCACACUUUGUGAAAGCAGAUGGGAAGUCCCAGCCACAUCCUAUAAGUGCUUCCCUACACGGCAGUGGAACCAGAAGCAAGACCAACACCAAGUGCCAAAAAACUCCGGGGAACAUUCCCAGCCAACGCCUCCUUCUUCGUCCGCGUCUUUCUCCAAGUCGGAUAUGUGAUGUGAAAGUGAUGGGAAGAGAAAAGAAAAAGGCUGAGGGUGGAGUGCAGAGAGGGAGUUUGCUGCCUCCAAUUGAGAACUCUGUGAAGAAGGGCACAGCCACCAAGGGCAUGGAAGCACCCCAAGCUGGGCUGGCAGCUCCCACCAGGCAGGGAAAACAUGUCCAGCUUCCACCCCUGGAAGGGCACAGGAGUCUGGGGAAGGCUGCUGCCUUCUGUCCUGGAGGAUUUGAAAAGCUAAGGAAGGAGAGAGUGGCUGGUGUGGCAGGAGUGGCUGCUGCUUUGUCCCCAGAGAGAAAGGAGAAGACACUGUCCCCUUGUAGAGGAAGACCACAGCCAAGGACCCCACGAGCAAAACAGGUCCUGCUAAAUCUGCAGCCAUACAAAGUUGCCCGGGAGCAGUGCACGAAGGCCUUGCAGAUCAAUAGGUUACGGAAAUGGUCCGACGGCAAUUCCUUCACCGCAGGUGACAGGUCCUCAGCCGGGAUGAGGCAGCUCCUGGAUCUACCUUGAGCUUGGUGAAGCCACUGGAGAUCCAUGAAGAGACAAGAGCAGAACUGGAACAUGAGGACAGCGACAUGGCACCAUGAAAAAAGGAAUAAAGACCUAGAAAUCCAUCACCUUGAUGUUUGAAUUGUUGCUCCAUACCAGGGAUUGAGCCCUUGGUUGGGACAACAGUGUUUGGUAAUCCAGAUGGGACUGGUGGACAUGGACAACUCCAGUCACAGAAUCCCAGGAUAGGUGAGGUUGGAAGGGACCUCAGUGGCUCAUCUGGUCCUACUUUCCUGCUCUAGCAGGGCCAUCCCAGAGCACAGGAUUGUAUCUGGAUGGGUCAAAAAUAUCCCUGGUGAGGGAGACUCCACCCCCUCUCCAGACCACCUGUUCCCGGCUCGAUCACUCCACUGCAAGGAAGUUCUACCUCAUGUUCAGCUGGAACUUCCUGGGCAUCAGUUCCUGUCCGUUCCCCUUGUCCCAUUGCUGGGGCUCCUGGAGCAGAUCCUGGGCCCUGCUCUGAGCCCUCC